rnacentral:rRNA from 1 species
UACGUAGGGUGCAAGCGUUGUCCGGAAUUAUUGGGCGUAAAGGGCUCGUAGGCGGUCCGUCACGUCGGGAGUGAAAACUUGGGGCUUAACCCCAAGCCUGCUUCCGAUACGGGCGGACUAGAGGUAGGCAGGGGAGAACGGAAUUCCUGGUGUAGCGGUGAAAUGCGCAGAUAUCAGGAGGAACACCGGUGGCGAAGGCGGUUCUCUGGGCCGUACCUGACGCUGAGGAGCGAAAGUGUGGGGAGCGAACAGG